GUCGAACGGCAGCAUAGAGAGCUUGCUCUCUGAUGGCGAGUGGCGAACGGGUGAGUAAUAUAUCGGAACGUACCUAGUAAUGGGGAACAACUAGCCGAAAGGUUAGCUAAUACCGCAUACGACCUACGGGUGAAAGCAGGGGAUCUUCGGACCUUGCGUUAUUAGAGCGGCCGAUAUCUGAUUAGGUAGUUGGUGGGGUAAAAGCCUACCAAGCCAACGAUCAGUAGCUGGUCUGAGAGGACGAUCAGCCACACUGGAACUGAGACACGGUCCAGACUCCUACGGGAGGCAGCAGUGGGGAAUUUUGGACAAUGGGGGCAACCCUGAUCCAGCCAUUCCGCGUGAGUGAAGAAGGCCUUCGGGUUGUAAAGCUCUUUCACAAGAGAAGAAAUCUUACUAUCAAAUAAAUAGUAAGGAUGACGGUAUCUUGAGAAGAAGCACCGGCUAACUACGUGCCAGCAGCCGCGGUAAUACGUAGGGUGCGAGCGUUAAUCGGAAUUACUGGGCGUAAAGCGUGCGCAGGCGGUUUUAUAAGUCAGAUGUGAAAUCCCCGAGCUCAACUUGGGAACUGCGUUUGAAACUGUAAGACUAGAGUGUGUCAGAGGGGGGUAGAAUUCCAUGUGUAGCAGUGAAAUGCGUAGAUAUAUGGAGGAAUACCAAUGGCGAAGGCAGCCCCCUGGGAUAACACUGACGCUCAUGCACGAAAGCGUGGGGAGCAAACAGGAUUAGAUACCCUGGUAGUCCACGCCCUAAACGAUGUCUACUAGUUGUUGGUGGAGUAAAAUCCAUGAGUAACGCAGCUAACGCGUGAAGUAGACCGCCUGGGGAGUACGGUCGCAAGAUUAAAACUCAAAGGAAUUGACGGGGGCCCG
rnacentral:rRNA from 1 species